AUCUAAUCGAUGAUAAAGAGAGUAAUUAUUCUUCGUUUGCUUCAGCGAGUCAGGGACGGUGGAAGCCUGGUGCAUCAGAGUAAUGAAGCGCACUUUUGAGAUGCUUGCCUGAAUGGAAGUAGGGUCGGCCGGGAAUUUCCCGUUAUCAAUGAAAGAAGGUUCCUUAGUGUGGAACAAUUUGAGUGGUACCGCGGGAUAACUCUCGUCUCUUAU
rnacentral:ncRNA from 1 species